rnacentral:sRNA from 12 species
CCUGUGGAGAGUUACAGCAAACGUGGGUAGCUUUAAGCAAAAACGGAUUCGAUGAAACAGGAC